ACGUUAGCGGCGGACGGGUGAGUAACACGUGGGUAACCUAUCUAUAAGACUGGGAUAACUUCGGGAAACCGGAGCUAAUACCGGAUAAUAUUUCGAACCGCAUGGUUCGAUAGUGAAAGAUGGUUUUGCUAUCACUUAUAGAUGGACCCGCGCCGUAUUAGCUAGUUGGUAAGGUAACGGCUUACCAAGGCGACGAUACGUAGCCGACCUGAGAGGGUGAUCGGCCACACUGGAACUGAGACACGGUCCAGACUCCUACGGGAGGCAGCAGCC
rnacentral:rRNA from 1 species